rnacentral:rRNA from 1 species
UACGAAGGGGGCUAGCGUUGCUCGGAAUCACUGGGCGUAAAGCGCACGUAGGCGGCUUUUUAAGUCAGGGGUGAAAUCCUGGAGCUCAACUCCAGAACUGCCUUUGAUACUGAGAAGCUUGAGUCCGGGAGAGGUGAGUGGAACUGCGAGUGUAGAGGUGAAAUUCGUAGAUAUUCGCAAGAACACCAGUGGCGAAGGCGGCUCACUGGCCCGGUACUGACGCUGAGGCGCGAAAGCGUGGGGAGCAAACAGG